rnacentral:rRNA from 1 species
AGAGUUUGAUCAUGGCUCAGAUUGAACGCUGGCGGCAGGCCUAACACAUGCAAGUCGAGCGGUAACAGGGGAAGCUUGCUUCUCGCUGACGAGUGGCGGACGGGUGAGUAAUGUCUGGGAAACUCCCUGAUGGAGGGGGAUAACUACUGGAAACGGUAGCUAAUACCGCAUAAUCUCUCAGGAGCAAAGCAGGGGAACUUCGGUCCUUGCGCCAUCAGAUGUGCCCAGAUGGGAUUAGCUAGUAGGUGGGGUAACGGCUCACCUAGGCGACGAUCCCUAGCUGGUCUGAGAGGAUGACCAGCCACACUGGAACUGAGACACGGUCCAGACUCCUACGGGAGGCAGCAGUGGGGAAUAUUGCACAAUGGGCGCAAGCCUGAUGCAGCCAUGCCGCGUGUAUGAAGAAGGCCUUCGGGUUGUAAAGUACUUUCAGCGGGGAGGAAGGCGAUAAGGUUAAUAACCUUGUCGAUUGACGUUACCCGCAGAAGAAGCACCGGCUAACUCCGUGCCAGCCGCCGCGGUAAUAC